rnacentral:rRNA from 1 species
ACGCUGGCGGCACGCCUUAUACAUGCAAGUCGAACGCAGUAGCAAUACUGAGUGGCAGACGGGUGAGUAUAAUGUGGGAAUCUGCCUUUUGGUUUGGAAUAACUCGGGGAAACCUGAGCUAAUACUGGAUAAGCCCUUACGGGGAAAGCUUUAUGCGCCAAAAGAUGAGCCCGCACUUGAUUAGCUUGUUGGUGAGGUAAAAGCUCACCAAGGCAACGAUCAAUAGCUGUUCUUAGAGGAAGACCAGCCACAUUGGGACUGAGACACGGCCCAGACUCCUACGGGAGGCAGCAGUAAGGAAUCUUGCACAAUGGGGGAAACCCUGAUGCAGCGAUGCCGCGUGAGUGAAGAAGGCCUUUGGGUUGUAAAACUCUUUCGUCGGGGAAGAAAAUGACUGUACCCGAAUAAGAAGGUCCGGCUAACUUCGUGCCAGCAGCCGCGGUAAUACGAAGGGACCUAGCGUAGUUCGGAAUUACUGGGCUUAAAGAGCUCGUAGGUGGUUAGAAAAGUUGGUGGUGAAAUCCCAAGGCUCAACCUUGGAACUGCCAUCAAAACUUUCUAGCUUGAGUGUGAUAGAGGAAAGUGGAAUUUCUAGUGUAGAGGUGAAAUUCGUAGAUAUUAGAAAGAACACCAAAUGCGAAGGCAACUUUCUGGAUCACUACUGACACUGAGGAGCGAAAGCAUGGGUAGCGAAGAGGAUUAGAUACCCUCGUAGUCCAUGCUGUAAACGAUGUGUGCUAGACGUUGGAAAUUUAUUUUUCAGUGUCGCAGCAAAAGCGUUAAGCACACCGCCUGGGGAGUACG